UUUUUUUUCCCCCUUUUUUUUUUUUUUUUUGUGGUUAAUUGGUUCAGCUCACUCGGAGAGGUUUUCGCAUCCGAGUUGGGAGAUGGGGACGUAAGGACUAGAGAAGAGGAGAAUUCUUUUGUUUGUUCGGAUUUUUU
rnacentral:ribozyme from 1 species